rnacentral:tRNA from 1 species
UAGAAUAAAGCUCGCUGGAUAGAGUGUUUAGCUGUUAAUUAAAAUGUUAUGGGAUCAAGGCCCAUUGUUCUAG